CUGGAGAUGGGGCCUGAGUGCACCAGAUGGUGAGCAAGAUGGUGUCACAGUCCCAACUCCUCAUCUUCCUGGUGCUCUGGGUCUCAGGUGCCAGUGGGGACAUCGUGAUGACCCAGUCUCCAGUCUCUGUGGCUGGGUCUCCAGGAGAGACCAUCACCAUGAGCUGUAAGUCCAGCCAGGGUGUUAGCAAUGAUGUAGGCUGGUACCAGCAGAAACCUGGACAGGCUCCUAAAUCACUCAUAUAUGAUGCAUCCACCCGGUUCUCUGGGGUCCCUGACCGGUUCAGUGGCAGUUAUUCAGGAACAGAGUUCACUCUCACCAUCAGGAGUUUCCAGCCUGAGGAUGUGGCAAGUUAUUACUGUAUGCAAGGAAACAGCAAUCCGCCCACAGUCACUUAUGGUGGAGGGGCGCGGGUAGAAAUUGAAAGUGCCAGUGGGGACAUCACACUGACCCAGUCUCCAGACUCUGUGGUUACGUCUCCAGGAGAGACUAUCACCAUCAGGUGCAAGUCCAGCCAGAGUGUUAGCAGCUACUUACACUGGUACCAGCAGAAACCUGGACAGGCUCCUAAACUGUUCAUCUAUGGUGAAUCCACCCAGGCAUCUGGGGUCCCUGACUGAUUCACUGGCAGUGGGUCUGGGACAGAUUUCACUCUCACCAUCAGCAGUUUCCAGCCUGAAGAUUAUUACUGUCAGCAAAGUAGCAGUGCACCUCACACAGUGCUUCAGCCUCAAACAAAAACCUCCUCCCCAGGGCUGUAG